GGAGGGUGGUAGGUAGGACGGUGGUAGGUAGGACGGUGGUAGGUAGGAUGGUGGUAGGUAGGGCCGGAAGUAGGUAAAAUGGUGGUAGGUAGGAUGGUGGUAGGUAGGAUGGUGGUAGGUAAGACAGUGGUAGGUAGGACAGUGGUAGGUAAGAUGGUGGUAGGUAGGAUGGUGGUAAGUAGGAUGGUGGUAGGUUGGGCCAGAAGUAGGUAGGACAGUGGUAGGUAGGGCAGGAAGUAGGUAGGACAGUGGUAGGUAGGACGGUGGUAGGUAGGAUGGUGGUAGGUAGGACGGUGGUAGGUAGGAUGGUGGUAGGUAGGACGGUGGUAGGUAGGGCCGGAAGUAGGUAGGACGGUGGUAGGUAGGGCCGGAAGUAGGUAGGACA
rnacentral:lncRNA from 1 species